rnacentral:rRNA from 1 species
UAGGGAAUCUUCGGCAAUGGACGGAAGUCUGACCGAGCAACGCCGCGUGAGUGAAGAAGGUUUUCGGAUCGUAAAGCUCUGUUGUAAGAGAAGAACGAGUGUGAGAGUGGAAAGUUCACACUGUGACGGUAUCUUACCAGAAAGGGACGGCUAACUACGUGCCAGCAGCCGCGGUAAUACGUAGGUCCCGAGCGUUGUCCGGAUUUAUUGGGCGUAAAGCGAGCGCAGGCGGUUAGAUAAGUCUGAAGUUAAAGGCUGUGGCUUAACCAUAGUAGGCUUUGGAAACUGUUUAACUUGAGUGCAAGAGGGGAGAGUGGAAUUCCAUGUGUAGCGGUGAAAUGCGUAGAUAUAUGGAGGAACACCGGUGGCGAAAGCGGCUCUCUGGCUUGUAACUGACGCUGAGGCUCGAAAGCGUGGGGAGCAAACAGGAUUAGAUACCCUGGUAGUCCACGCUGUAAACGAUGAGUGCUAGGUGUUAGACCCUUUCCGGGGUUUAGUGCCGUAGCUAACGCAUUAAGCACUCCACCUGGGGAGUACGACCGCAAGGUUG